rnacentral:rRNA from 1 species
AACGAACGCUGGCGGCAUGCCUAACACAUGCAAGUCGAACGAGACCUUCGGGUUUAGUGGCGCACGGGUGCGUAACGCGUGGGAACCUGCACUUAGGUUCGGAAUAACUCCCCGAAAGGGGUGCUAAUACCGGUUAAUGUCUUAGGACCAAAGAUUUAUCGCCUUUGGAUGGGCGCGCGUUGGAUUAGCGAGUUGGUAGUGUAAAAGCCUACCAAGGCGACGAUCCAUAGCUGGUCUGGGAGGAUGAUUAGCCACACUGGGACUGAGACACGGUCCAGACUCCUACGGAAGGCAGCAGUGGGGAAUAUUAGAGGAUGGGCGAAAGCCUGAUCCAGCAAUGCCGCGUAAGUGAUGAAGGCCUUAGGGUUGUAAAGCUCUUUUACCCGAGAUGAUAAUGACGGUACCGGGAGAAUAAGCACCGGCUAACUCCGUG